AUGCGACUGUGCCAGAACUUAGGGCAGCCAAAGCAUUCGUUAGUUAACCGUUGUGACGGCUGAACGUGCAGAACGCGUGCACAUCGUAAGCUCCGGAUCGAGUUAGUUGUGUACCAUAUCGGGCCUUGAGUUGCUUGCAAAAGUGUAACGGUGGCUGAGCAAGUGAACGCAAACUGUGAAUUUGACUCGAAGCGGUGUCUUUUGCCGACAGAUUAUUACACGCCGUCGCAGCUGUGCGUUGUGCCCCAUUUUCGAGUGUGUGAGCCAUUUAAAAGUUUUCCACUUUUCAUCAUUAAAUAUAUUCAACCGAAUUGAAAUCGAACGUGUGUUGUGUGCAGUGCAAUAAAAUUACAGCUUUGUGGUGUACUCGCGUAUGCAUGAUCGCUGAUCGCGUGUGGUUAAAGACACCAGUAAUUGCAGCCUAUGGCGAACCAACUGACCAACUUUAACCCAGAAAAAGUGCAUUGCUGACUGCAAGAAAAAAAAAACAAGAAAAAACCUCAGCGUCGCGAUCGUCGUGUCCGCACACACACAUUCGCUCGCACAGUGAAAACCCCAGCUCGAACUUGAUUUCGGCAAUUCUUCAUUCUGCAUUCUGCAUUUCAUUUUCGUUUUCGGUUUCGCGUCGCACCUCGAACGUCGAACGUCGUCGUCACCCCGUUUGGGUUGGAAAUUGUCGGAUUGUUGAAUUGUCGGCUGGCUGGGCCGCUCGCUUGCAUUCUAGCUGCUGCAACCGGCUGGUGAUGCUGGCCACAUUAGUCUUCGCAUUGCGCUUAUUGGUGUCGUGCGCUGUCUUGGCCAAUCUGCACAAAUACCAACGUCCGCUGGAUUUCGCCUGCCUGGCGAUUGUGCUCGGCGCAGGCGCAUACUACAUUGACGCGCAGCUGCGCGAGUGGUUCUUUAGCGAGAUCACACGCCUGUGCUAGCGUCUGCACGGACCGCGCGCAAGAAGCGAAAGAAGGGCAAGCAUAAAUGCCAAUCAGUGAGGCAAAAGCAUCAAAAUCUAUUUGCAAUUCUAAUUCAACUCAAUUCAACUCAACGCGGUGUUGUAUUCAUAGUGUGUGCGCGUUUCAGUUUUGCAAGCAUAAAUAAAUUAUGCAAUGGAGUUUUGAAAAAGUAAUGCCAUUAAAAUGUCUAUCGGCCGCAAAAGUGGAAGUGUUGCAGCAAAAUUGUACAAGAAAAAAACGAAUUGGAAAAAAGUAUUGAAAUAGUUGUGCAAAAGUGCUGAUUGUAUUUGAGAACUCAAGCCAUAAAAGUGUAUGAAAAAGUGUGUACUCAGCUUUAUAAUUCACAAUAUAUGAUAUUUCUUACGAAAAAAUUUAUAAAACCGUGAAAUUGUUAGUGAAGUGCUACAAAAAUAUAAAGUAAACAUAUUUUUUGUGGAUAUUGUGCAAAUAUUUUUUAUGCUUUGUAACAUUCUUUGUGUAAAAUAUUCAAUACACGAAUUGUGUCAUCCAGCAGGAGAUUGGAUUAACUUGAAAUAAGGUAUGUUUUUUGGGUGGAUUGGUGAACUAUGCUCUUCAAGAUACAACCAUACAAGGUAACUGCAUUGACAAAUAAAUGUUUAAACACAGACAUACGCAUGUGAAUGCCAGCUGUGUCAUGCAACCGAAAGCUUUUGUAGCAGCAUUUACAUAUACAAUAUAUGUAUAUGUACGUGUGCGUGUAUACUCUCACACAUUUGGUAUGUCAAUAAACAUCAAUGAAUGCACACCCAUGGGUGUUUACAAGCACAAUGGGCAUGUAUGUGUGUCAGACGGUGCGGCAACAUCUUCACUUUUCCUCAUUAACGAGGACACAAAGCAAAAGUCGCGAGGUGUUGCAGCGGCAGAGAAGCAUGCAUUCGUCUCUUCUGCAUGGAAUACUUAAAAGAAUUGGGACAAACAAACAAAGAGCUGCCAUCUUCACCAGCAAAAGCAACCACAAAUAGUAUUAAAGCCAAAAAACAAAA
rnacentral:lncRNA from 1 species